rnacentral:rRNA from 1 species
CCUACGGGUGACAGCAGUGGGGAAUAUUGGGCAAUGGGCGAAAGCCUGACCCAGCAACGCCGCGUGAAGGAAGAAGGCUUUCGGGUUGUAAACUUCUUUUGACAGGGAAGAGCAGAAGACGGUACCUGUCGAAUAAGCCACGGCUAACUACGUGCCAGCAGCCGCGGUAAUACGUAGGUGGCAAGCGUUGUCCGGAUUUACUGGGUGUAAAGGGCGUGUAGCCGGGCUGACAAGUCAGAUGUGAAAUCCGGGGGCUCAACCCCCGAACUGCAUUUGAAACUGUUGGUCGUGAGUAUCGGAGAGGCAGGCGGAAGUCCUGGUGUAGCGGUGAAAUGCGUAGAUAUUAGGAGGAACAUCAGGGGCGAAGGCGACUUACUGGACUGUAACUGACACUGAGGCACGAAAGCGUGGGGAGCAAACAGGAUUAGAUACCCGGGUAGUC